GCGCUGGCUUCGGCAGCACAUGUGCUAUAACCGGAAAGAUACGGAGAAGGUUAGCAUGGCUCCUGCCCAAGGAUGACACGCGAAUUCGUGAAGCCGUCCAUAUUCCU